AUUGAGAGUUUGAUCCUGGCUCAGGAUGAACGCUAGCUACAGGCUUAACACAUGCAAGUCGAGGGGCAGCGGGGCUGAAGCUUGCUUCAGCUGCCGGCGACCGGCGCACGGGUGAGUAACACGUAUCCAACCUGCCAUUCACUCCCGGAUAGCCUUCUGAAAGGAAGAUUAAUACGGGAUGGUAUCACGAGUCAGCAUUUUCGCGUGAUUAAAGAAUUUCGGUGGAUGAUGGGGAUGCGUUCCAUUAGGCAGUUGGCGGGGUAACGGCCCACCAAACCGACGAUGGAUAGGGGUUCUGAGAGGAAGGUCCCCCACAUUGGAACUGAGACACGGUCCAAACUCCUACGGGAGGCAGCAGUGAGGAAUAUUGGUCAAUGGACGAGAGUCUGAACCAGCCAAGUAGCGUGAAGGAUGACUGCCCUAUGGGUUGUAAACUUCUUUUAUACGGGAAUAAAGUGAGGUACGUGUACCUUUUUGUAUGUACCGUAUGAAUAAGGAUCGGCUAACUCCGUGCCAGCAGCCGCGGUAAUACGGAGGAUCCGAGCGUUAUCCGGAUUUAUUGGGUUUAAAGGGAGCGUAGAUGGGCGUUUAAGUCAGUUGUGAAAGUUUGCGGCUCAACCGUAAAAUUGCAGUUGAUACUGGACGCCUUGAGUGCAGUUGAGGCAGGCGGAAUUCGUGGUGUAGCGGUGAAAUGCUUAGAUAUCACGAAGAACUCCGAUUGCGAAGGCAGCCUGCUAAGCUGUAACUGACAUUGAGGCUCGAAAGUGUGGGUAUCAAACAGGAUUAGAUACCCUGGUAGUCCACACGGUAAACGAUGAAUACUCGCUGUUGGCGAUAUACGGUCAGCGGCCAAGCGAAAGCAUUAAGUAUUCCACCUGGGGAGUACGCCGGCAACGGUGAAACUCAAAGGAAUUGACGGGGGCCCGCACAAGCGGAGGAACAUGUGGUUUAAUUCGAAGCAACGCGAAGAACCUUACCAAGGCUUGACAUCCCGAUGACCGCUCUAGAGAUAGAGCUUCUCUUCGGAGCAUCGGUGACAGGUGGUGCAUGGUUGUCGUCAGCUCGUGUCGUGAGAUGUUGGGUUAAGUCCCGCAACGAGCGCAACCCCUAUCUUCAGUAGCCAUCAUUGAGUUGGGCACUCUGGAGAGACUGCCGUGGAUAACACGGAGGAAGGUGGGGAUGACGUCAAAUCAUCAUGCCCCUUAUGUCUUGGGCUACACACGUGCUACAAUGGCUGGUAACAAAGUGAAGCGAGACGGCGACGUUCAGCAAAUCACAAAAACCCAGUCCCAGUUCAGAUUGUAGUCUGCAACUCGACUACAUGAAGCUGGAAUCGCUAGUAAUCGCGAAUCAGCAUGUCGCGGUGAAUACGUUCCCGGGCCUUGUACACACCGCCCGUCACACCAUGGGAGUUGGAAGCACCCGAAGUCGGUGACCUAACCGUAAGGAAGGAGCCGCCGAAGGUGAAGCCAGUGACUGGGGUGAAGUCGUAACAAGGUAGCCGUAAAU
rnacentral:rRNA from 1 species